AUCUCGUCGCGCACGGAGGCACGCGGAGCGUCAAUGGCCAUGGCACGGGCGCCGGGCACAAAAAUACAACAACCUGUUUUGUUUUCCUCUGACUUUUGAACGGUGGGGACUUUAAUGGAAGUGAAGGGUGUGUAGCGGAUAUGCAGAAGUGUCCGGCUGCUUUGUGGCGAAUCUAUGAAAGUCAAGUGAGAAGGGUGGCAAGAACAGGUUAGGUGCGCAGCCGGUGCGGGUCUGCUCUGCUGCGGGGACGAGACAGCUGCACUUAUCGCCAUCAACGACAAAAUUUUUCCCAUCAGCGCACGGGGACCUCCUAUCCCGACAGAGGAGGCGUCGCGUCGCAGAGAGGUGAAAGGAUGACAUGGGAGGGCGCGCAGCAGUUCAUCAUCAUAAGCACACCUGAAGCUUGGAGGCGAGUGGCUGGCGCAGGUUGGAGGCGGCGUGCCCGGGCAACAAAGGCUGCAGAUUUUAAGGUAAGAGAGAAGACUGGGCUGCCUUUCACCGGUCGCAGUUAGGCUUCGUUUCGCACUCAGUUUCACGGUGCGGAGGCCCUUCUCCCCCGCGAAUGCUCAA